GUGCAUUCGCAGCUCGUGCGUCACGACGCCGCCAGCUGAUCGGAGACUGGAGCCGGUGUGUGCUGGACGCUGAGAAGAGACAGAGCGUUCGGCCGUGCGGAGAGGACGCAGUGAUUUUGCUCCCCAGUCCUCAGCAACCCCCCACACCCAGCAUCAGGAGCCUGUGCCUCCCACACCCUCCCCUGGCUGAGCCGCAGUAGUUCUUCAGUGGCAAGCUUUAUGUCCUGACCCCGCUAAAGCUGCCAGUUGAAGAACUGUUGCCCUCUGCCCUUGGCUUCGAGGAGGAAGAGGAGCAGCUUCUUCGCCUAUCAUCUGGAAGAUUGGUCCAGAUUUUGGAUUUAGGGGUACUUAACCUCUGUGGGAUCCUUAAACCUGUCUAUUUCUCCACCUGUGAAAUGGGGAAUCCCAUAGAUGAGUAGGCAGGAGGGCAUCACAAGUCCACCUGUGCUGACUCAGAGCCUGGGCUCUUCUUUUCCUGGGGGUAAAAACAAAACAGCUCUUCAUACAAAUUGUCCCUCGCUCACCCCCUGACUAUACAGCCAGGAAUUGGGGUGGAGGGAAAGAUUAAGAACUAGUGGGAGGCUAGUCCUAUGCUGACUUCUCAUUAUACAAGGGUGACCCAAGGUUUCCCCUCUACCCAAAGUGAGAUUCCAGCUCCUGAUUGGGUCCUAGCAACCGAUGCCAUUUAUUUUCUUCCUUUGCUUUCCAGGAUAGUGAGACUCAGCUCAGUGCUAUGCAGGCAAGAAAUUGUCUCCUCCAGCCAUUAGGGGAGAUGGGUUGUCUGAUAUGAGUCCCUCUGCUGCCUCUAGCUCCUGAUUCAUUCUCAAGCUUGGGCUUGGGCUCAGAUUGUGGUUCAACUUUGGCCCAGUCUCCCUAACAGAAGAUGGGUUCAGGGGCUAUAGGAAGCUGUUUGUUCUGCUUGGCAGGAAACAGAGGGGGAAUUCUAGCCUAUUCUCUAUUUAUGAGAAACUGAAAGUCAUAGGGGAGAAUAGAUCACAUAACCUAGUCCUACUACAGCCUGAGAUGAGGGAUAGGAUGUGUAAGGGACUGCAGCAGAGAGGGGGAUGGGGAAAACCAAAUCUACUCAUACACUGCAACAAAGAUUGCUCUGUCCCGAGACAUUGCUUUCUUCCCCUCCUCGCUUUACUGGCCACAGUGUGUCCCUCCAGCACUGGGUUCAUGGCUCUGCUGUCUUCAUCCAACAUGGAGCCUCAGAGGUGAGGAAGGGCAGCCUGGAAACACAGAGGCAGGUGGAAGACCAGUGAAGGACCUGGCCUGGAGCCACAAGGGCUUGUCCCAGACAUUGGUCAGAGGGGCUCAUAGAAGCCUGGAGAGCACCAGGAAAGAGCCGCCAGCCUCAAUGAAAAGACAGCUUCCAGCCAUCUCCUCUCCAGACCUACCUCCCUUGGAGAUGAAGAGCUAUAAUGAAGUGCCCUGCAGUUCCUAUAUACUCACCCUCAAGGAGCAUGAGCCACCUGUGAAAGGAAACACGAGCAAAUUCAAAGAGAGGUUCAAAUGUGUAACACUAUGGAAAAACAUGUUUUUGGCUGGGGCUGUAGCUCAGUUGGUAGAAUGCUUGCUUUAUGUCCACAAAGUCCUGGUUGAAGCUUCUGCAUUGCCUAAAACUGGGUGUGGUGGCACAGGCCUACAAUCCCUGGAGGUGGUGGCAAGAGGAUCCUACAAGAGGUCAUCCUCUGCUACACAGUGAGUCAUCCUGAACUACAUGAGACUCUUG